GGCGCGGCGGCCGUUCCCAAGCGACGCUGGACUGCGCAGUCAUGCUCACCGCCGCCACAGAGGUGCUAGCUGCUGCGGAUGGCCCCGGGUCUGCGGAGCCCACGUGGGCCUGGAGAGAUGCCCCGAUCGCUACGCUGGUGCAGAGGAUCCAGCAGCUGCAGAAUGAACGCGCACAGGCCUUCCGCCGUCUGGACCAGUGAGCCAGCUGGGCUGGAGGAGGGGAGGGGCCCUGGGAGAGCUUGCCAAAGGGAGCUCACCGUCAGUACCUGCUCAGUGAUCUGCACCAUGACUUCCCGAGUUACCGGAGUGUCGUGCAUGAGGUGACCCAGGCCUUCGCCGCUGCCUCGCGCGAGGUACUGGCAGUGGAAGCGGAGCUGGCAGGGCCUCGAGCGCAACCGGUGCUCGCCCGCCACGUGCGCAACCUUCAAGAGCUAGAACAGACGCGCCUAGCCACCGUGGCGCUGCUGCAGGUGAUGGGGACACCAGGAGUGUCAGAACAGGACCCUGAAAAGUUGCACCAGCUGAAGAUAAAGGUAAUUAAAACCAUGGAGGCCAUCAGUGAGGUUCUGCAGGAACUCAGGUUUGAUGCCGAAUCUGCCGAGUGAGGGUGGCUCCCCAGGGACCAGAGGAAGACGGGAAAAGAGGCCCAUGGCGUCCGGCCCAGCCCUGACCGCCAGCUGGCUGAGGUCGUGCCCUGCUGGGCUGCCCUCCAACGCGCCUCACGCAAUAAAGAAUUCUCCCUCUGCA